ensembl:lncRNA
AUGGACUGCAGCCCACCAGGCUCCUCUGUCCAUGGGAUUUUCCAGGCAAGAGUACUGGAGUGGGGUGCCAUUGCCUUCUCUGGAAGAGCCUCUGAGUCUCUGCCAAACAGGAGUGAUGGAUGGGGUGCUGACUCCCUUGCUACAGCAAGUCCUGAAAUAAUGCCAGGAGUUAAGCACCAUCAUCAUCGUCUCCAGCUUACAAAUGAAGAGGCUGAAGGAAAAGGAAACUAGCUAACUUGCACAAGGACCUACACCUAGGAAAACAAAUUAGAACUCCAGUCACUGGUGCAUGAUUCUGCCUCUUGAAGAUCAAGUGUGCAAAAUAUUUGCUUUGGUGCCUGACACAUGGUUCUUCUGUCCUAGGAGAUUCUUCGGGCAAGAACACUGGAGUGGGUUGCCAUGCCCUCCUCCAGGGGAUCUUCCUAACCCAGAGGAUCGAACCCAGGUCUCCGUCAUUUCAGGCAGAUUCUUUACCAUCUGAGCCACCAAGGAAGCCCAAGAAUUCUGGAGUGGGUAGCCUAUCCCUUCUCCAGGGGAACUUCC